rnacentral:rRNA from 1 species
AACGAACGCUGGCGGCAGGCCUAACACAUGCAAGUCGAGCGGGACCUUCGGGUCUAGCGGCGGACGGGUGAGUAACGCGUGGGAAUAUGCCUUUCACUACGGAACAGCCCCGGGAAACUGGGUUUAAUACCGUAUACGCCCUUUGGGGGAAAGAUUUAUCGGUGAAAGAUUAGCCCGCGUUGGAUUAGGUAGUUGGUGGGGUAAUGGCCUACCAAGCCUACGAUCCAUAGCUGGUUUGAGAGGAUGAUCAGCCACACUGGGACUGAGACACGGCCCAGACUCCUACGGGAGGCAGCAGUGGGGAAUAUUGGACAAUGGGGGCAACCCUGAUCCAGCCAUGCCGCGUGAGUGAUGAAGGCCCUAGGGUUGUAAAGCUCUUUCGACGGGGACGAUAAUGACGGUACCCGAAGAAGAAGCCCCGGCUAACUUCGUGCCAGCCGCCGCGGUAAAAC